UUUUUUUUUUGCUUGUUGUAUGCACAUGAGCAUUGCUAGUUAGUGAGUUGGUACCAAACACAUUCUUUUUGUUAGGUAGCUUCACUUGUAUUAACCAGCAUUAUAGAGACAAGUAACAAUGAGAUGGAUUUAUAUAGCCUGUUUAUGAAUUCUGCUAACAUGUUGGUGUGCUUACUCUAUUCUACUAUGUGAUGACUUGGGUUGGUACAAAUUCUGUAGUAUAAAAAUUUAUUUUGUUCAAUUGAGUAUGAUUUUCUGGCCAAGUUAUGGACUUAUAUUGUCCAGGUGUGAUACAAUGUGAAGUAAGUAGUACUGAAUCCAUUUCUAGUUUCUUUGUUAAGCAAGACUCGGUGCAGCCAACAGGAAAAUUCUGUCGUGUUUAGUUUAUCAUUAUUAUGUCAAAUACUUUGGGUACUUGCUCUGCUGGCUGGCCUUCUGUUGAAUAGUUCUAUCCACACGUGGUUCCUUGUAUAUAGUGUGAAGGAUUUCUUCUCUGAAGUACAGACCAAGAAUUAUAAAGAUUUGUACAAGAAUUUUACGGACUUCAUUAAUAUCCUGAACUUAAGCUUAUUGGCUGAAUUGAAUGGUAAGGACGCUGCUGCCUCCCAGAAUCCUAAUGCUGAGAGCAGUUCGUCAAUAAACAGGUAUGUCUAUGUUGGGUUUUAAACUUGUGGCACGUCACAUCUCCAUCUCUAACACUAAAAUCAGACAAAGUUUCUGUGCAUCUCAUCGCAAACAAAAAUCUAGUAUAUUGCCCUAUGGAAUUACUUCAUGUUGCAUUUUUACUUGCUAUCAAUGAAUUAAUAUCAUUAUAUUGGGAAUUUGGGCUUUUCUGGUUAUAUUCUGAUGAUUUUCCUCCUUCGCAUAAAAUUUAACUUCCAAAGCUUCUCUGUUGUAGCCGACUCCAUUUGCUAGUAAUUCUCUUAACACGUUGCACUUCUCCUUGCAGUUAUAGAAAUGUUAUGUGGGGAAAGCCGACUACAAGGACUACUGAACGAACCAGGUAUGAAUACAACCAUUUGUAUUUUCCCUUAUUCUUUUGUGUGGCACUCCUUUAUUCACCUUUUUUGUACUUUGUUGUCACUUGCUCCAGUUCUGAAUAUGCUCGGUGGGAAAACCGGAGCGCAAGGACUGCCGGGUAUGAAUACAAGCUUUUGUAUAUUUCCCUUAUUUUGUGUGGCACACUGCUAUUCACCAUUUUGGACUUUGAUGUUAUUUUUAUUUGGUCCUGUCCAAUAUGAUUAGAACUCGCUAAGGCUUAGGGCAACUCCAACACGGAUCGCCAAAACAAACAACUCCAAAUGUCCGAGACACCAUAUGUUGCAUUGAUUUUCCGAUAUUUUAAUACAUAUCAAAAGGCCAUAACUAAAACAUCUAAAACACCCUAAAAAAUUUACUCCUCAUCAGAGUCUGCCUGGUCAUCAUCGCCAGUGGAGGUGGGGUCGACGAUCCCCAUGCCGGACGGACUGGCCUGUCGUUGUUGUGUGCUGGUGCGAAUGAGGCGGAGCUACCAACGUUUGCGUUGCUUCCAUAAUCACCAUGCUGGUCCGGCGCGUUGUUAGUCAUCACCUCUAGCACGUCAAUGAGGCGGUUGCGCUCCAUCUCAUUGUAGAGGAGCUGCCAGCGCUCGCGGCAGAUGGUGCGGCACUAUGCAUGGAAUCGAUCAUUGCUCCUACUCAUCGACAAUACUCGAGUCCUUUGGACAUGGCCAUGCCGACAUCUUUGGACGUCCGCUCCGUUGAGAGUUGGUCCUCCACUAGCCGGUGCUCCUCGAGGAGUGCUAGGUUGUAGUUACUGCUCCUCCUGAAGAAGAUGGAACACAGAACCAACAGCUCCUCUAGUGGUGCAGCGCCACCUCCUCCUUCGCCUCCACCAUCACCCGGUCAUAGUGCUGCCUUGGUUAUACAAUGCGGAACCUGGACACCGGCGGUCCUCCUUUGAUGCAGGCUCUUGAUCCACACUGGCGCUAACUCCAUGAUGAUCUCUGCCAUGGCCAUGGGUGGCCCUCCUCCAUCUCCUCGGAACGCCCCGGAGAGCUCUAUGGUUGGCCUGCAUAAAUGCAAGCAUGAAUUCAGGCCUCCACAUCACAGACCUCCAACGUGAUUUGGGCGAGGCACGCCGGCGUGAAGUUCAUGUACCACAUGGCAAAGGAACGGGCCAUGACCACAAGGGAUGGCUGCUUGGAUGGUGGGAGAAGGGCGCGGAGAGGUCUGGUUUUGGGGCCAUGGCUGGCCAUCGUAAAUAGUCGGGGCGGGCGGAGCGGCCGGUUGAAUGUGGAGCGCCCUAUUAGCAUUCUCAUUCGCCACACUAUUGUGAAUGUCGGCAGGUGAAUGGCUGGUCAGCCAGCAUGAAUGUCGGUACAAAGCCGCCCUGUUUAGUUAUGUCCCCUCUGACUGGCAUGAAUGUGGUGCGGAGAGCGAUCAGAUGCAGCGGCAGACGGGGUUUUGGGUUGGUCUGGGGUGCCUGAGUCCGAUGGGGCAGACAUCUGGGCUCCCCCAAUCCUCCCCUUAGUUUGGUUCCGGUUGUUGUGGGAUUUUGGAUGCCUGGGCCGGGCUGGACAAGUUUUGUGACCGCCGUUCGAUGGCAAAAAUGUCCGGACUGUUCGUUCCUCACAUUUAUGGGGGAUUUGGUGAUCCGCGUUGGAGUUUCUCUUAGCCACUAGUGAGUAUUUUCUAGUUUUCUCUGACUUCAUUCUUGCGUACACUGCUUCAAUCACAAGCUGAGUACCUUCGGUCCUGAUAGCAACUAGCCUUCUUCAGUUUUCAUGAGCAUGUGUGUCCUUACAUAUUCUAUUGCCAUCUAAUUUUAGUGCAACUUCGAAAUUUUGGUACUGCAACUUAUUGAUAUUGUUACUUUUUACUGUCUUGAUCAAUGCAAAUUCUCUUGAUGUAUGUUGGAAGUAAACAAAAAGAAUAUCAAUGGAGUCAUUGUGAUCUUACUUUCAAUAUAACAUAUGUUACUGAUAGCAUUUACAAAUAUAUACUGUGUCUUCACACUACUCAUUUUAUGAAUCACACUGAAGAUAAUAUUAUGGAAGGUAAUGUCUAUGGAAUAUACAACUUCAGUUCAAAGAAAGUUUCCACAAAAUAAUAUAUUCUCCCAAAAAUUUGGUACAAAUGACGAUGAACUCAUGUCCAUAUGGACCUGUUCCUGAGGUUAUAGAUUCAGACAUUUUCAAAAUUCUCAAUAAAAGUUAUGGUACUACAAAAAUAUAGUUUAGGCAUAUAUACAAAAUCUUAAUAGAAAAUAUACAUGAUCAUGUUUGUUCUGUACCUAAAAAUAUAUAUAUAAGAACACCCUUAUAUUGCAUACUCUCUCUCUCUCUCUCUCUCUCUCUCUCUCUCUCUCUCUCUCUCUCUCUCUCUCNNNNNNNNNNNNNNNNNNNNNNNNNNNNNNNNNNNNNNNNNNNNNNNNNNNNNNNNNNNNNNNNNNNNNNNNNNNNNNNNNNNNNNNNNNNNNNNNNNNNGCCGCCGUAGACACCAAUACCGCCACCGCCGAAGACACCAAUGGCGCCCCUGCGCGUUGUGCGAGUUGCUGGCCGUGAAGCUGGGAAUUGGGGGCGGCCCCUGUUGGCCACCCGCAAUCCACGUCGUUAUCCCAUGAAUCAAGGUAGGCAUAAUGCCGGUGAGUCUCGAUCCCAGUUGUUGUUGCACUUGCUCUUGGACCAUCUCCGGAAUCUGCGCCACUUUCGCCUUGAGUGCUUCAACCUCGCGCGACAGGCUUUCCGAGCUGGUCUUUUUCUCCUUUCGCCCACUAGCGGUAUAGUAUGACGACCAUUUUGUGGACAAGCCUUUGCAGGCCACACGACCAGCUGACGUUGGCUUACUGAGCUUAUCCUUGUUUUUCAUUACGUUCAACGCCCUAUUCAAAGGGGUGUCGAAAGGGGAGCUCUGAGACGACCCCGCGCUACUUCUUUCUUUGUCCUGCGGAAGGAACGUGAACCAUUUAGAAAUAUUGGGGAUUAAUUAGAAUGAAACCAUAUGGAGCUAAUUAUGCGGGGGUGUAUUCCUUACCAGAACAAGCUCAAGCGCCUUAGUCUUCGGAUCCGUGGUAAGCUCCUUUGUUACCAGGUCCUCCUUGUAUCGGGCCCUGAGAAAGUUCCUGGUCUGCUUGUCACGGUAUUUCUCGAAGCGGGGCGGUAGGCCUUGCUCGACACGCUCCGCGUCCUCCUUGUCCCAUAUAGGCUCCGCCACUCUGUAACCACCGGGACCGAGUUGGUGGACCCCUAUGUUCAACUGCCGCAUUUCUUUCCCCCACUGACUUGACUCGGAGGUUGCGGGGCUCUUGCACUUGAUCUUGAACUCCUUGUAGUCAUCUUCGCUAAUCAAAGGAUAUUUCGCCUUGAUCUUCUCAUAACUAUCACCUUUGUCAAUCAUUGCCUUCACCGUGCUUUUCCAAGUAGACAGGGCCGUGCUCAUCCUCGUGAGGGCGACACCGUUCACUUUAUUCCUCGAGAGGCGUGUGUUUGCGAACUAAGCGGGGAACUUGUAUCAUUCGUGCAGCUUCGUGAAGAGGAGGCUGCGCAAAUUCCCUCGGUCCUUAUGCCUUAGGUUCUCGGUGUUGAUCGAGGCGGUGCUCCGGAGAAUGCACCCGAGCUGAACCGAGUACCCCUUGACUACGUGUUUGGGCGCCGUCGGAUGCCCGUCGGAGUUCACUUCAGUAAAUUCCUCCCUGACGGUGCCGAGCACGUUCGGGCGCCGGUCCUUCCGUUGCCUCUUUGGUUGGCUGCCAUCUGUGCAUGCGCUGCCAUCAUCAAUGGUGGCAUCCGCGGCGCCAUCAUCAGUGGUGUCAUCCCCGACGCCACUAGGGGUUGUGUAGUCAGGAUCGGUGUCUUCCGCGGCAUCCUCAUAGCGGUGAGGUUCUUCCUCCAAGUCCUGAGACAGCUCCCAGGAUUGCUUGCCGCCCGAACCGCCGGCCUCAUCAUUGUGGUCCAUGUUUUGCUCUAAAUAGGAAAAAAGUUUGGUCAAAAAGUUGGUUAUUGUCAAGGAACAAGAUCAUGGUCACAUCAUUUAGGGUUUGUCGACACCGAGGCAUCCUAAAAGCUAAGCUUUUAUCAUUUAGGGUUUGUCGACGCCGAGGCACCCUAAAAGCCUAAGCGUACAUCAUUUAGGUCUCUCAUCGACACCGAGGCACCCUAUAGAAGCCAAGUUAAGUUUUCAUCAUGUAGGGUUUAUCGAUGCCGAGGCACCCUAGUUUGGGCCUAAUCACUUGGCACUAAUCACUUGGCUCUAUUGCCACCUAUGUUGGGUUUAUCAUCUAGGGUUUAUCGAUGCUAAGGAGAAUUCUAAGUUGGGCCUAAUCAUUUGGCUCUAUUGCCACCUAUGGUUUAAUGCAGCAAGAAUGGCGGGGCAGUUGAUCCUACUUAACUAAGUACUAAGAUACCUCGGCCCAUGCAUUAGUCGCAAGUACCCCAUAUGUCCUAUUUUUAGCAAAGUCAUGCUAAAAUUCACGGAAAAUUUCAACAUGACCUUUGCUGAAAAUAGGACAUAUGGAGUACCCAAAUUUGCCGGAAGGGAAGUUAAUCGACAUUCCGGCAAACUCAAGGGCCUCUUGGGGUACCUGCAAAUUCAUCACGACACAAUGGUCGGAGACAAAAUCCAGCCACGGACCAUAUGGUCCUCUGCUUUCAUAUGGAAAAAAAUCAGCUCAACUUAUGUGAGCUUCCAUUCCAGAUAUAAUAGGUCACCCAAAAAAUCAUCAAUAGUAUGAUCAAUUUUGAAUCAAUAGACAUACUUCUGAAAAGAGGCAUGAUCAAAUUCUGGUGCCCUUGACUUACUAGUAUUUAUCUCUUAUGACUGAUGAAUGUGCAUUGAGUCCAGAAGCAAAGACUCUACAGUGAAAUGAAAAAACCUUGGAAAUAUAUUUAUGAUAACUCUAAAUGGAUCAGAAGGUGCAGAUGCACUUGUAAAAAAAAGGUAUGCAUUUGCAGCAGCUUUGUUCUGAUUAUGACACCAUUCUGUUAAGAAGGCAAAAUAACAUUAUCAUCCCAAUUCAUGGUUGAAGUUGAAGACCCUAAGCUUUAAAAUGCCAAGUCUCACUUACGCAUGUUAACUUAUUUACAAGUUCAGAACUAUCACUAGAAAAUAGUAAAUCCACAUUGACCACAUAAUACUAUUUUGCAACCACUCAGUUUGUCCUUGACUGGGACACUUGAAGCACAAAACAACUAAUGCAGAGAUAGGUCUACUUUGGUUCUGACAGAUCACAUCCUGGUGCAUAUGUGGGGUUUUUUACUUAGAAAAUACAAAACUUCUAUUAUUGUUUUUAUUUUUAACCAGAGCCUAACCACCUCUAUAGUUUACAUCAGAUAAUCACUAAUCAGGCAUGGAAAAUUAUUUUAGCCAUGAUCCCUGAGGAUUAGAGCCUCCACAAGUCAAAGAAAAUUAGUGUCUCCACUUGUGUUGUCAAUGCUUGUUGUAUGUUUGACUUAAGGGUUUUCCUUUACAAAUUCUGACUCUGUUUCUAAACAAAGUAAGCUUCUAUCCUAUCUAGAAUGUAAUGAAGAUGUCUUGGAUAAGCUGAGUGUUGUAAUGAAGAUGUCUUGGUGAGACUUGAUGUAUGUCCAAAAUUAGAAAAAUCACAAGGUACUUUCUCUACCUAAUAAACUCCAUAUGACCACAUAAAACCCUGUUUAACACACCUGUAAAGAAGAACAACCCCCCUAAGGAGCUAGAAAGCUAUAUGAAACAAAAUUAUCAAGCAUAGGCAUACAAAUUCAGUACUGUAUGAAACAAAAUAGGUACAACAAGUAGAUGCUAGAGUCAUAUGCUGAGAGUAGGUGUCAGCUUAAGACAUUCUGAAAUAGUAAAUAACUAAAGGGCACUUGAUUAUGCACUUAGUAACAAGGUAUAUUGCAUGAUUCAUAAUUUUAUAGGAGACCAAUAGUAGAAAUUUGAUUAGGAGUGCUCCAUUUCACUNNNNNNNNNNNNNNNNNNNNNNNNNNNNNNNNNNNNNNNNNNNNNNNNNNNNNNNNNNNNNNNNNNNNNNNNNNNNNNNNNNNNNNNNNNNNNNNNNNNNCCUACGGUAUCCGGGAGUUACACGAUCUCAUGGUCUAAGGAAGAGAUACUUGACAUUGGAAAAGCUCUAGCGAAACGAACUACACGAUCUUGUGCCAUGCUUAGGAUUGGGUCUUGUCCAUCACGUCAUUCUCCUAAUGACGUGAUCCCGUUGUCAAUGACAUCUGAUGUCCAUAGUCAGGAAACCAUGACUAUCUGUUGACCAACGAGCUAGUCAACUAGAGGCUUACUAGGGACGUAUUGUAGUCUAUGUAUUCACACAUGUAUUACGAUUUCCGGAUAAUACAAUUAUAGCAUGAAUAAAAGACAAUUAUCAUGAACAAGUAAAUAUAAUAGUAAUGCUUUUAUUAUUGCCUCUAGGGCAUAUUUCCAACAGUCUCCCACUUGCACUAGAGUCAAUAAUCUAGUUACAUUGUGAUGAAUCGAACACCCAUAGAGUUCUGGUGUUGAUCAUGUUUUGCUCGUGAGAGAGGUUUAGUCAACGGAUCUGCGACAUUCAGAUCCGUAUCCACUUUACAAAUUUCUAUGUCUCCAUCUUGAACAUUUUUACGGAUGGAGUUGAAGCGACGCUUGAUGUGCCUGGUCCUCUUGUGAAACCUGGGCUCCUUGGCAAGUGCAACAGCCCCAGUGUUGUCACAGAAGAGUUUGAUCGGCCCCGACGCAUUGGGUAUGACUCCUAGGUCGGUGAUGAACUCCUUCACCCAAAUUGCUUCAUGCGCUGCCUCCGAGGCUGCCAUGUACUCCGCUUCACAUGUAGAUCCCGCCACGAUGCUCUGCUUGCAGCUGCACCAGCUUACUUCUCCACCAUUCAACAUAUACACGUAUCCGGUUUGUGACUUAGAGUCAUCCAGAUCUGUGUCGAAGCUACCGUCGACGUAACCCUUUACGACGAGCUCUUCGUCACCUCCAUAAACGAGAAACAUGUCCUUUGUCCUUUUCAGGUACUUCAGGAUAUUCUUGACCACUGUCCAGUGUUCCUUGCCAGGAUUACUUUGGUAUCUUCCUACCAAACUUACGGCAAGGUUUACAUCAGGUCUGGUACACAGCAUGGCAUACAUAAUAGAUCCUAUGGCUGAGGCAUAGGGGAUGACACUCAUCUCUUCUUUAUCUUUUGCCGUGGUCGGGCAUUGAGCUGAGCUCAAUCUCACACCUUGCAGUACAGGCAAGAACCCUUUCUUGGACUGAUCCAUUUUGAACUUCUUCAAAAUCUUAUCAAGGUAUGUGCUUUGUGAAAGACCUAUGAGGCGUCUCGAUCUAUCUCUAUAGAUCUUGAUGCCUAAUAUAUAAGCAGCUUCUCCAAGGUCCUUCAUUGAAAAACUUUUAUUCAAGUAGGCCUUAAUGCUGUCCAACAGUUCUAUAUCAUUUACCAUCAAAAGUAUGUCAUCUACAUAUAAUAUGAGAAAUUCUACGGAGCUCCCACUCACUUUCUUGUAAACGCAGGCUUCUCCAUAAGUCUGCAUAAACCCAAACGCUUUGAUCAUCUCAUCAAAGCGAAUGUUCCAACUCCGAGAUGCUUGCACCAGCCCAUAAAUGGAUCGCUGGAGCUUGCAUACUUUGUUAGCAUUCUUAGGAUCGACAAAACCUUCCGGCUGCAUCAUAUAUAGCUCUUCCUUAAGAUAACCGUUAAGGAACGCUGUUUUGACGUCCAUCUGCCAUAUCUCAUAAUCAUAGUAUGCGGCAAUUGCUAACAUGAUUCGGACGGACUUAAGCUUCGCUACGGGAGAGAAAGUCUCAUCGUAGUCAAUCCCUUGAACUUGUCGAUAACCCUUAGCGACAAGAUGAGCUUUAUAGAUGGUAACAUUACCAUCCGCGUCCGUCUUCUUCUUAAAGAUCCAUUUGUUUUCUAUCGCUCGCCGAUCAUCGGGCAAGUCUGUCAAAGUCCAUACUUUGUUUUCAUACAUGGAUCCUAUCUCGGAUUUCAUGGCUUCGAGCCAUUUGUUGGAAUCCGGGCCCGCCAUCGCUUCUUCAUAGUUCGAAGGUUCACCGUUGUCUAACAACAUGAUUUCCAGGACAAGGUUGCCGUACCACUCUGGUGCGGAACGUGUCCUAGUAGACCUACGAAGUUCAGUAGCAACUUGAUCCGAAGUACCUAGAUCAUCAUCAUUAAUUUCCUCUCCAGUCGGUGUAGGCACCACAGGAACAUUUUCCUGAGCUGCACUACUUUCCGGUUCAAGAGGUAGUACUUCAUCGAGUUCUACUUUCCUCCCACUUACUCCUUUCGAGAGAAACUCUUUUUCCAGAAAGGAUCCGUUCUUGGCAACAAAGAUCUUGCCUUCGGAUCUAAGGUAGAAGGUAUACCCAAUGGUUUCCUUAGGGUAUCCUAUGAAGAUGCAUUUUUCCGACUUGGGUUCGAGCUUUUCAGGUUGAAGUUUCUUGACAUAAGCAUCGCAUCCCCAAACUUUUAGAAACGACAGCUUAGGUUUCUUCCCAAACCAUAAUUCAUACGGUGUCGUCUCAACGGAUUUAGAUGGUGCCCUAUUUAAAGUGAAUGUAGCUGUCUCUAGAGCGUAUCCCCAAAAUGAUAGCGGUAAAUCGGUAAGAGACAUCAUAGAUCGCACCAUAUCCAAUAUAGUGCGAUUACGACGUUCGGACACACCGUUACACUGAGGUGUUCCAGGCGGCGUGAGUUGUGAAACGAUUCCACAUUUUCUUAAGUGUGUACCAAAUUCGUGACUUAGAUAUUCUCCUCCACGAUCUGAUCGUAAGAAUUUUAUCUUUCGGUCACGUUGAUUCUCUACCUCAUUCUAAAAUUCCUUGAACUUUUCAAAGGUCUCAGACUUGUGUUUCAUCAAGUAGACAUACCCAUAUCUACUCAAGUCAUCAGUGAGAGUGAGAACAUAACGAUAUCCUCCGCGAGCCUCAACACUCAUUGGACCGCACACAUCGGUAUGUAUGAUUUCCAAUAAGUUGGUUGCUCGCUCCAUUGUUCCGGAGAACGGAGUCUUAGUCAUCUUGCCCAUGAGGCAUGGUUCGCAUGUGGCAAAUGAUUCAUAAUCCAGAGACUCCAAAAGUCCAUCAGCAUGGAGCUUCUUCAUGCGCUUGACACCAAUGUGACCAAGGCGGCAGUGCCACAAGUAUGUGGGACUAUCGUUAUCAACUUUACAUCUUUUGGUAUUCACGCUAUGAAUAUGUGUAACAUUACGCUCGAGAUUCAUUAAGAAUAAACCAUUGACUAUCGGAGCAUGACCAUAAAACAUGUCUCUCAUAUAAAUAGAACAACCAUUAUUCUCGGAUUUAAAUGAGUAGCCAUCUCGUAUUAAACGAGAUCCAGAUACAAUGUUCAUGCUCAAACUUGGCACCAAAUAGCAAUUAUUAAGGUUUAUAACUAAUCCCGUAGGUAAAUGUAGAGGUAGCGUGCCGACGGCGAUCACAUCGACCUUGGAACCAUUCCCGACACGCAUCGUCACCUCGUCCUUCGCCAGUCUCCGUUUAUUCCGCAGCUCCUGCUGUGANNNNNNNNNNNNNNNNNNNNNNNNNNNNNNNNNNNNNNNNNNNNNNNNNNNNNNNNNNNNNNNNNNNNNNNNNNNNNNNNNNNNNNNNNNNNNNNNNNNNUACCCGAAGGUAAUCCACCAAGAAAAUGCAAAAUAGCAAAGGGAGGUUAAGAUAUUACUCACUAUCUUUUUGGUAUUUUGUUUUAUUUGAGGAAUUAAAAUACUAACACAAACAGGAGUCAAUAUCAAGUAAAGCUACAAGACAAGGACACAUUAGUAUCAAACAUAUAACAAUAGGAAGAAGCGACAAUAUAUGACAGAAUAUAAUUGUUUCAAAUCAAACACACACACACACAUUCAUAUAUCACAGGUACAUAACUGAUAUGGGGACUACAGAACACACAAAACCACACAUAUGCGAACAGGAUACUACACCACGGUUCAGGUUACACAAGUGACAACAGAAACGAAAUCUUACAAGCCACAAGAUUAGUACCCAUAGAUCAACACAACAGUAUUUAACAACUAAAAAUUACUGAUAGAAUUUAACUAGUACCAAUGUUUUCGAGUCGAUGAGUCGACGAGUCGCUCAGGGGGGGCGACUCUAGACUAGUCUAGACUAGUCUAGACUCAUGGUCGAUGAGUCGACAUGGCGACGAGUCGACGUGAGUUAAGCAGCAGCCAGGGGAGGAGCACAAGUGCUCAACAGCAGCAGCAGCAACAAGGGGAGGAGCACACCAGCAACCACAUUAACCAGGGGAGGAGCACAACAGCAGGAGCAGCAACCAGGGGAGGGGAGGAGAACAACAGUAGCAGGGGAGGAGGGGACGAGCACACCAUAGGAGGAUAGGAGCAGAACAGCAGCAGGGGCAACCAGGGGUGGCGGCUGGAGAGGGUUGGAUCGGGGGGAGGUGGGGGAUGAUCGAUCUAGGUUUCCAGGGGAGAUGGGCCGGCCCAUACUGAAAACAAAACAUAUAACAGUUGGGCUCAAUUUAAGUGAGUCGCUCGACCCAGAAAGAGCGACUAGUCGAGACUAGUCGCUUGAGUCGCUCGACUCAUGCCAGGAGUCGAGUCGAGAGUCUGAGUCGAACCUGGAGAAGCGACUCAUCGACUAGUCGUCGACUAGUCGCGACUAGUCGAACGACUCGAAAACAGAGACUAGUACAGCGAGAAGAAAUACACAGGGUGAACACACAUAUAUGCUGACAGAACACUAAUUACCAAAGUAACAAAAUAUUACAUAUUAGAUAGUUCCCAAAGCAACAAGAAAUCCACUAUUCAGAACAUAGAAUUUAUGACAUGAUAUUUAACAAGUACGAACUGAACAAACUAGUUGGUUGCAAACACUUAGCAAAAUCUGAACCUUACAAGUGCUACACAUCUCAAUUCUGAACAUUUCAAAGUACUGAACAUUACACUACUCAAGAUUACAGAAAAUUAGAGAAUAGAGAGAGGGAGAAGAAGCAGCAGUUUUGAGGUUUCAGAGAAGAGCAGCAGCAAGACGUUGAGAGGAGAGCAGCAGCAGUUUUCUGGUUCAGAGAAGAUUAGGAGGAGCAGCGGAGCAAGAGAAGGAGGCAGCAGCAGGAGGUUGGAGAAGGGAGAAGC
rnacentral:lncRNA from 1 species